UCCGAAUUGGUGUAGUGGCUAACAUUUGACGCUCUCAAGUUGCUGGUCCCUGAAGCUAGCUCGUUGAAUAGAUCCGUCAAGCCCGGGGUUCGAUUCCCCGAUUCGGAG